AUUGAACGCUGGCGGCAUGCUUUACACAUGCAAGUCGAACGGUAACAGCACUUCGGUGGCUGACGAGUGGCGAACGGGUGUGUAAUACAUCGGAACGUGCCUCGUAGUGGGGGAUAACUACUCGAAAGAGUAGCUAAUACCGCAUGAGAUCUAAGGAUGAAAGCAGGGGACCUUCGGGCCUUGCGCUACUAGAGCGGCUGAUGGCGGAUUAGCUAGUUGGUGGGAUAAAAGCUUACCAAGCCGACGAUCUGUAGCUGGUCUGAGAGGAUGACCAGCCACACUGGAACUGAGACACGGUCCAGACUCCUACGGGAGGCAGCAGUGGGGAAUUUUGGACAAUGGGCGCAAGCCUGAUCCAGCAAUGCCGCGUGCAGGAUGAAGGUCUUCGGGUUGUAAACUGCUUUUGUACGGAACGAAAAGCACUCUGCUAAUACAGGGGGGUCAUGACGGUACCGAAAGAAUAAGCACCGGCUAACUACGUG
rnacentral:rRNA from 1 species